GACGAACGCUGGCGGCGUGCUUAACACAUGCAAGUCGAACGGAAAGGCCCUGCUUUUGUGUGGUGCUCGAGUGGCGCACGGGUGAGUAACACGUGAGUAACCUGCCCUUGACUUUGGGAUAACUUCAGGAAACUGGGGCUAAUACCGGAUAGGAGCUCCUGCUGCAUGUUGGUGGUUGGAAAGUUUCGGCGGUUGGGGAUGGACUCGCAGGUUAUCAGCUUGUUUGUGUGGUAGUGGCAGACCAAGGCUUUGACGGGUAGCCUGCCUGAGAGGGUGGCCGGCGACAUGGGGACUACGGGAGGGACCAGACGGGAACGGGAGGCAGCGGGGGGGAGUAUGGCACAGUGGGCGGAAGUGUGAGACAACGGCGCCGCGAGCGGAAAGACGGCCUACGGGUUGAAAACCGCUGUCGACUGAAACGAAGAGUGAGUGACGGUAAUGGGUAAAAAAGCACCGGCUAACUACGUG
rnacentral:rRNA from 1 species